rnacentral:rRNA from 1 species
GACGAACGCUGGCGGCGUGCCUAAUACAUGCAAGUCGAGCGGACUUGAAGGAGUGCUUGCACUCCUGAGAGUUAGCGGCGGACGGGUGAGUAACACGUAUGCAACCUGCCCUCAAGACUGGGAUAACUACCGGAAACGGUAGCUAAUACCGGAUAAUUUAUUACAUAGCAUUAUGUGAUAAUGAAAGACGGAGCAAUCUGUCACUUGGGGAUGGGCCUGCGGCGCAUUAGCUAGUUGGUGGGGUAACGGCCCACCAAGGCGACGAUGCGUAGCCGACCUGAGAGGGUGAACGGCCACACUGGGACUGAGACACGGCCCAGACUCCUACGGGAGGCAGCAGUAGGGAAUCUUCCGCAAUGGGCGAAAGCCUGACGGAGCAACGCCGCGUGAGUGAUGAAGGUGUUCGGAUCGUAAAGCUCUGUUGCCAAGGAAGAACGUCUCAUAGAGUAACUGCUAUGAGAGUGACGGUACUUGAGAAGAAAGCCCCGGCUAACUACGUG